rnacentral:rRNA from 1 species
GAUGAACGCUGGCGGCGUGCCUAAUACAUGCAAGUCGAGCGAACAGACGAGGAGCUUGCUCCUCUGACGUUAGCGGCGGACGGGUGAGUAACACGUGGAUAACCUACCUAUAAGACUGGGAUAACUUCGGGAAACCGGAGCUAACACCGGAUAAUAUAUUGAACCGCAUGGUUCAAUAGUGAAAGACGGUUUUGCUGUCACUUAUAGAUGGAUCCGCGCCGCAUUAGCUAGUUGGUAAGGUAACGGCUUACCAAGGCAACGAUGCGUAGCCGACCUGAGAGGGUGAUCGGCCACACUGGAACUGAGACACGGUCCAGACUCCUACGGGAGGCAGCAGUAGGGAAUCUUCCGCAAUGGGCGAAAGCCUAACGGAGCAACGCCGCGUGAGUGAUGAAGGUCUUCGGAUCGUAAAACUCUGUUAUUAGGGAAGAACAAAUGUGUAAGUAACUAUGCACGUCUUGACGGUACCUAAUCAGAAAGCCACGGCUAACUACGUG